AUGGCGGGAGAUGAUCCCACGUGUGAGGCGAUCAAGGAGGAGCUGCGCGACCUGAGCGCGCGAGUGGGCGACCGGCGGGAGUACCAGCAGACGGGUCGCGCGUGCCUUCUGGCCGGCAUGAGCUCGCACUCGCAGCAGCGCGCCUCGGCGGUGGAGCUGCAGUCAGGGAGCAAGGCGGCCCGGGCGUACCUGACUCCCAAGAUGGAGGAGAUGGUGGAGACGUCGCGUGAGCAGAGCAGGAGGCGUGGCAACAGCGGCGGAUCCACCCAGCUUAUUAAACACAUCAAGCAAGACCUGAACGACGACUAA
rnacentral:rRNA from 1 species